GGCGAAGCAAAAAGUCAGAUGACAGAUUGUCAAGAAAAGGGCAAAGUUUAUGRUCCAAAGGUAGAAAGAAAGUAACAGAUUUUAAGUAUGCUGAAAGGUGCACUAGGUAGGAGAAGGAGAAAUAAUCUGGUCUCAGAGGUUGUGAUGGUUCUACAUGAUGGAAUAGACCAUGGAGCCUUCAGUUAUGCCAUAGAGACUAAAGAGUAGUUUGAAAACAAAAAUUAAGACUUUUUUUUUUCCCACAGUGUUGAUUAGAAUCUGAUGAUAAGAAAUCCAGAAUGAGUUCCUGCAAAGACCAGCUGUGAAGGUACAAAGGGGAACCAUGGCAGUUGAGGAUGAGUAGAGGACAUUCUUGAAAAUAGGGAAAAGAAAGCAAGAGGAGAAACAAAAAGCAAGUGCCAGAAGUGUAUCCUCAGCAUAAAAGGACAGUUCAUAGGAGAAUGAUAGCAGUUUUAACUGAGGGACUGAAGAAUUGGAGACUGACAGUAAUGAGAAGAACUGAAGACUAUGGUGGCAUAAAGUAGCAGAGARGAAUAAAAGACAAAGGACAAUGAGGUGGAGAUUCAUUCUGAUAAGGGCAGAAGGCCAUGACCCCAGUGCAUGUCUCUCCUUCCCAGCAGGGACUGACAGGACGUGCCCUUCUCUUUGGAUUAGCUCAGGAAUUCUCCACCAGUGUUCCUCUCGCUGUGGUGUGCUAUCAAGCUACUCAGCACAAAUACCGAGAAGUCAUUCUUGUAAYAGGCAUCUGAGAGGAAAUGCUUACUCAGAGUGCCCCAUGUUUGGAGGAUAAUGUUGGAGAUGCUUGCCACAGAGAACAGUCACCGUAUGAAGUGGGGAUGUCUUCCUGAAAACAGACUGUACAUCAGGCAGCCCUUCUCUAGCAGCAGAAUACUUCUGUAGUUCACAGUUUGAGGAGCUGAUUACAGGAGAAGUUUGGCUGGUAUCAAAUGCUGUGUCAGUUUUACUUUCAUGCUUUAACUACGUUGCACUUAAUUAGGCUUUGUCCACUACCAUUUUAAAGGGCCAGGUGGUCACACAAUAGAAGGGAAAUUUUCUGGCUUUAGUAUGUGAGGUAUAAAUUAAAUAUCUUAUAGUUGUUGAACAUCUAUUGUAACUUAUGGACUGCACUUUCUCAUUCAUUAUAGGUGUGAACUAAACAAAUCUGGCUUUGACUCAAGUGAAUUUUGGCAUGUGUCAAUGCCCUACUGGCCUUUAGGCCUUUCACAAGCAUGUGAUUCCACAUUUUAUGUGGCUAUGUACUAGUGAACGGAAUGUUUAAAUAAAUAGCAAUUUGAGUCACUUAGUCUUGAAUCA
rnacentral:lncRNA from 1 species